rnacentral:lncRNA from 1 species
CCAAGCAUGUAACUCUCUUCAGGUCCUGAAGUCGUAUCUGUUGUGCAGUCCCUAUUACCCUGUAUUCUAAAAUCAUUAGGUGAGCUAACAUACCUGCAUUUUUUUCUGCUGAGUGCGUCGGCUACCAUAUCACCCUUGCCCAGGUAAUACAAAAUAUUGCAAUCGUAGUCUUCGAGGAGUUAUAUCAAUCAUCUCUGAUGCAUGUUGAGAUCAUUUUGAGUGAACAUAUGUUUU